UACGAAGGGUGCAAGCGUUACUCGGAAUUACUGGGCGUAAAGCGUGCGUAGGUGGUGAGUUAAGUCUGUCGUGAAAGCCCCGGGCUCAACCUGGGAAUGGCGAUGGAUACUGGCUCGCUAGAGUGCGGUAGAGGAGAGUGGAAUUCCCGGUGUAGCAGUGAAAUGCGUAGAGAUCGGGAGGAACAUCAGUUGCGAAGGCGGCUCUCUGGACCAGCACUGACACUGAGGCACGGAAAGCGUGGGGGAGCAAACAGG
rnacentral:rRNA from 1 species